rnacentral:rRNA from 1 species
AGUGAACGCUGGCGGUAGGCCUAACACAUGCAAGUCGAACGGCAGCACAGGAGAGCUUGCUCUCUAGGUGGCGAGUGGCGGACGGGUGAGGAAUACAUCGGAAUCUGCCCAGUCGUGGGGGAUAACGUAGGGAAACUUACGCUAAUACCGCAUACGACCUUCGGGUGAAAGAGGGGGAUCGCAAGACCUCUCGCGAUUGGAUGAGCCGAUGUCGGAUUGGCUAGUUAGCGGGGUAAUGGCCCACCAAGGCCACGAUCCGUAGCUGGUCUGAGAGGAUGAUCAGCCACACUGGAACUGGGACACGGUCCAGACUCCUACGGGAGGCAGCAGUGGGGAAUAUUGGACAAUGGGCGAAAGCCUGAUCCAGCCAUACCGCGUGGGUGAAGAAGGCCUUCGGGUUGUAAAGCCCUUUUGUUGGGAAAGAAAUCUUUCAGGCUAAUACCCUGGGAGGAUGACGGUACCCAAAGAAUAAGCACCGGCUAACUUCGUG